UCAGUUGGACUGCAGGCUGCAACUCGCCUGCACGAAGUUGGAAUUGCUAGUAAUCGUGGAUCAGCAUGCCACGGUGAAUACGUUCCCGGGUCUUGUACACACCGCCCGUCACACCAUGGGAGCCGGUAAUACCCGAAGUCAGUAGUCUAACCGCAAGGAGGACGCUGCCGAAGGUAGGAUUGGCGACUGGGGUGAAGUCGUAACAAGGUAAC
rnacentral:rRNA from 1 species